rnacentral:rRNA from 1 species
UACGUAGGGUGCAAGCGUUGUCCGGAAUUAUUGGGCGUAAAGGGCUCGAGUAGGCGGUCCAUCACGUCGGGAGUGAAAAGCUGGGGACCUUAACCCCAGUCCUGCUUCCGGAUACGGGUGGACUAGAGGUAGGCAGGGGAGAACGGAAUUCCUGGUGGUAGCGGGUGAAAUGCGGCAGAUAUCAGGAGGAACACCGAUGGUGAAGGCAGCUCGCUGGGACGGUACUGACGCUGAGGCGCGAAAGACGUGGGGAGCAAACAGG